AUUGAACGCUGGCGGCAGGCUUAACACAUGCAAGUCGAGCGGAGAGAGGUAGCUUGCUACUGAUCUUAGCGGCGGACGGGUGAGUAAUGCUUAUGAAUCAGCCUAUUAGUGGGGGACAACAUUUCGAAAGGAAUGCUAAUACAGCAUACGUCCUACGGGAGAAAGCAGGGGAUCUUCGGACCUUGCGCUAUUAGAUGAGCCUAAGUCGGAUUAGCUAGUUGGUGGGGUAAAGGCCUACCAAGGCGACGAUCUGUAGCGGAUCUGAGAGGAUUAUCCGCCACACUGGGACUGAGACACGGCCCAGACUCCUACGGGAGGCAGCAGUGGGGAAUAUUGGACAAUGGGCGCAAGCCUGAUCCAGCCAUGCCGCGUGUGUGAAGAAGGCCUUAUGGUUGUAAAGCACUUUAAGCGAGGAGGAGGCUACUUUAGUUAAUACCUAGAGAUAGUGGACGUUACUCGCAGAAUAAGCACCGGCUAACUCUGUGCCAGCCGCCGCAGUAA
rnacentral:rRNA from 1 species